ensembl:lncRNA
CAAAUUGUUGAUGCCCUCACACACAACCAACCUUCCUUUCUCCUUAGAGAGCUGCGUGCCAUAAUGUACCUACUCCCAAAGAGGACUGGAAGCAGGCUGAUUUAAAAUUUCAGAGUUGUAGAAAGUGCACUAAACUAACAGUCAGGAAGUCUGAGUUCUCUCUUAGAAACAGCUCUUAAUCUUUCUGUCUUCAUCUGUGAGAGGAAGGGCUUGAACUGCGUGGUCCCUGAGUUCUAUGGCUUUUCCCUUUAAAAUAGAGCCAGACGAAUGAUCUGAAUUUUAAAUUCCAUCAUGUCACUCACCUGCUCAAAAUUCAGUGACUCUCCUGAGCGUUAGAGAAAGUCCUGAGUCUGGUAGAUUCAAGACCUGACGAAGUUUGCUUUCAACCUACCUUCCCAGCCUUAUCUGCUUUCCCCACCCCCACUCCUCCCACCAGAUACUCCUCUCCUCCUGCCAAACUGGUUCCCACACCCGCCUGGAUCUUCUUGCCUCCUUCCUUUUGAUCAGGCCCUUUCAGUUACCUGGAAAGGCUUACAACUCAGCCUCUCAGAUCAUGACCCACUGAAAACUCACUUCCUUCAUAAAGCUUUCCUAAAACACCCAGCUUGAGGUAUCUCUCCAGGUACUCUUAACACAAGAAAUUAUAGUUUGUACGAUUCAUUUAUGAAGCAUUUUCUUGGGUCAUCUUUCUAUUAUUUAUUUUGAAGUGCUACUUAAAUCUUUAAUUGAGGUUGUCUUUUUCUUCUCAACAAGAUUAGACUUUGGGGGCGAGCCUCCCUAAUAUGUGGCAGUUAAAUGAUUAAUUUGAUUAUGUAAUGAUGAUGUAAGUGAUGGCAUAAAACCAUAAGAAAUUCAGAACUCCUUUAAAUGCCUGGUGUGGGUUUGCUCACAUUCCUUGUUCCUUCCUCUGUCUUUCUGCUUUCUUCCUCAUGGAACUCAUUCACUCAGUCUUAAAGGUCAUGUCUUUCUCAGUACACGUCUUCAGCCUAGCUGCUCUCCGUGAGCUCCAGUGUCAUUUCCCCAAAUACUAAUUGGAUGCUACCCAUUACCUUAAACUCAACAUGUUAAAAGGAAGGGGAAAAAACUAGGUCAGCAUUUUUUCUUUCCAACUCAUACACCCUUACUGAGUUUGUAACUCCUUUAAUGGAACAACUGUCUUUCUAGACUCCUAGGUUCACCCACGAUGCUCUUCACUCCCUUUUCUCUUGGCUAAUAUUCACCGUCUUAUGGUUCUUCCUCUUUUUUUUCUGGUUCUUCCUUCAUGAUGUCUGCUGUAUCCCCUUCCUUACCUUCUGAUAACCCUAGUCUCCACCCUGACCCAGGUUCUUUUCAUCUCACUGUUUUAGAAGCUCCAUUCCUGGGUUUUUUUCCUUUAGUUUCUCCUGCACCUAUUCUGUUUUGUCCAGUAUAGUCAGAUUUAUCUUCUUAAAACAGCACAUCAGUUUUAAGAAGUUGAAGGCCAGCAACACUGCCCUGGGACACAGGGCACGUGGGCAGUAAGUGAACAAAAGCCUUCCAGCUCCUGUCCCAGCUCUCCUUCCCAGCUGCCAUGGAACGUGUGCUCCGGCAUUCUGUUACCUUCACCUACCAUGGGAAGCUCCUCAGUUUAAAAUAUUGUACAAAACAAGUUUCAGAAGUGAUGUAUGGCGGGAUUCAAAAGGAUGGACAGGCCACUGGUUGGAGAAGAAGGUGACAGAGACAAUAGGAGAUAAUUUAUUGAGAGAGAAAGUUUAAAUUAAAAAAAAAAAAGCGUGUUGGGAUAAAUUGCCAAAGUUGCUAUAAAGAUUCACUGUGAAUAGAGAA